rnacentral:rRNA from 1 species
CAGUCGCCACGGUAAUACGAGGGGGGCAAGCGUUGUUCGGAAUUAUUGGGCGUAAAGGGUGCGUAGGCGGCCCCGCAAGUCUCAUGUGAAAUCUUCAGGCUCAACUUGAAGUCUGCAUGGGAAACUGCGGGGCUGGAGUAUGGGAGAGGUGAGUGGAAUUUCUGGUGUAGCGGUGAAAUGCGUAGAUAUCAGGAGGAACACCUGUGGCGAAAGCGGCUCACUGGACCAUAACUGACGCUGAGGCACGAAAGCUAGGGGAGCAAACAGGAUUAGAUACCCCCGUAGUCCCUGUCUCUUAUAC